rnacentral:tRNA from 1 species
GGGGAUUUAGCUCAGUGGUAGAGCGCUUGCCUAGCAAGUGCAAGGCCCUGGGUUCGCUCCCCAGUUCCA